AUGGCCCACAAGCAGAUCUACUACUCAGACAAGUACUCCGAUGAACACUACGAGUACCGGCAUGUCAUGUUACCCAGAGAACUCUCCAAACAAGUACCCAAAACUCAUCUGAUGUCCGAAGAAGAGUGGAGGAGACUUGGUGUCCAACAGAGUCUAGGAUGGGUUCAUUACAUGAUUCAUGAGCCAGAACCGCAUAUUCUCCUCUUUAGAAGACCUCUUCCAAAAGAACAACAAAAAUGAAGUACAGCUGGAACCAUCUAUAACCUUUUUCAAAUUUAAUGUAAAUGUGUAUAUAAGGUAGUGUUCAGUGAAUACUUGAAAAAAAUGUAAACCUUUCAUCCAUACCUGUGCAUGAGCUGUAUUCUUCACAGCGACAGAGCUCAGUUAAAUGCAACUGCAAGUAGGUUAGUUUUAUGUUGUUAAAUUUUCUUGUAGUUUUUUCUUAAUAUAAAUGCCUGUUUUACUUUACCUGUUUUGUUAAAUAAAGUUUGUAUAUUGCAU